UACGUAGGGUGCAGGCGUUAAUCGGAAUUACUGGGCGUAAAGCGUGCGCAGGCGGUCUACUAAGACAGGUGUGAAAUCCCCGGGCUUAACCUGGGAACUGCGCUUGUAACUGGUAGGCUUGAGUGUGGCAGAGGGGGGUGGAAUUCCAGGUGUAGCAGUGAAAUGCGUAGAUAUCUGGAGGAACACCGAUGGCGAAGGCAGCCCCCUGGGCUAACACUGACGCUCAUGCACGAAGGCCAGGGGAGCAAACGGG
rnacentral:rRNA from 1 species